GACGUAGGAGGCGAGCGUUAUCCGGAUUCACUGGGCGUAAAGCGCGUGUAGGCGGUUUCCUAAGUCAGGUGUGAAAUCCCCCGGCUUAACCGGGGAAGUGCGCCUGAAACUGGGAGGCUUGAGUAUCGGAGAGGAAAGGGGAAUUCCCGGUGUAGAGGUGAAAUUCGUAGAUAUCGGGAGGAACACCGGCGGCGAAGGCGCCUUUCUGGUCGAUCACUGACGCUGAGACGCGAAAGCGUGGGGAGCAAACAGG
rnacentral:rRNA from 1 species